CCUACGGGGGGCUGCAGUGGGGAAUAUUGGACAAUGGGGGCAACCCUGAUCCAGCCAUGCCGCGUGUGUGAAGAAGGCCCUCGGGUUGUAAAGCACUUUCAGUGAGGAAGAACGCCUGGUGGUUAAUACCCAUCAGGAAAGACAUCACUCACAGAAGAAGCACCGGCUAACUCCGUGCCAGCAGCCGCGGUAAUACGGAGGGUGCGAGCGUUAAUCGGAAUUACUGGGCGUAAAGCGCGCGUAGGUGGCUUGAUAAGCCGGUUGUGAAAGCCCCGGGCGCAACCUGGGAACGGCAUCCGGAACUGUCAAGCUAGAGUGCAGGAGAGGAAGGUAGAAUUCCCGGUGUAGCGGUGAAAUGCGUAGAGAUCGGGAGGAAUACCAGUGGCGAAGGCGGCCUUCUGGACUGACACUGACACUGAGGUGCGAAAGCGUGGGUAGCAAACAGGAUUAGAUACCCCGGUAGUC
rnacentral:rRNA from 1 species